CUACGGGUCGCUCCAGUCGAGAAUAUUUGACAAUGGGCGGAAGCCUGAUCAAGCGACGCCGCGUGCAGGAAGACGCUUUUCGGAGUGUAAACUGCUUUUCAUGGGGAUGAAGAUCGCCUUUUGGUGGUUUGACAGUACCCAUGGAAUAAGGAACGGCUAACUUCGUGCCAGCAGCAGCGGUAAUACGAAGGUUCCGAGCGUUAUCCGGAGUUAUUGGGCGUAAAGGGUGUGUAGGGGGCUAUGUGCGUCUGUUGUUAAAACUCACUGCUCAAAGGUGAGAUCGCGAUGGAUACGGCAUAGCUAGAGGAUGCGAGAGGCUUGCGGAACGCACGGUGUAGGGGUGAUAUCCGUUGAUAUCGUGCGGAACACCAAAGGCGAAGGCAGCAAGCUGGCGCAUUUCUGACCCUGAGACACGAAAGCGUGGGGAGCAAAAAGGAUUAGAUACCCCAGUAGUC
rnacentral:rRNA from 1 species